GGAAAUAAGGGAAAUCAAAAUAUGAAAGCUAAGAAGCGAGAAAUAAAGUUAGAAAUAAAUAAACAUUUUAAUUGAAAAAAUCAUUUGUAAAAUCUUUAUAAGUUGACUGGUCAAAUUCUGAAAUGGAAAGUGCUGGAGGAAAGAGCGAUUCCAUCAAUUAGUUCAAGUAAAUAUUUUGAGCUCGUACACCAACCGUCGAUAUGUUUACAUUCAACAGAUGUUUUUGUUUCGAACUCGUGCACCACACAUUGAUUUUGUAAACAUUGUUUGAUGAUGCAAGAAAGCCGACGGUAGCGGGAUUUGUUUCAAAAAACAAUAGCACCAGUUUCAGCUGGUGAGAGAGCUGUUUCCGAUAAUAUUGGCGACAGGCUCGGUGAAUCAUCAGGUAUGGUUGACAUAUCAUCUACUUCUUUCCAGCGAGCUUGGCAACCAGCAAACCCAUAAAACUUCGCAGCCUCUUCAUUAUCGUCUUCAAACAGUUCUGAAUCUCGGGAGCAACAGGGUCCAAGUUCCAAGAUAUGCUGCUACUGUUUUUUUUUUCAUAAUUUAUGCAACACUCAAAAGGAAGCUUCAGAGACGCUAUAAAAUAUAUAUAUAUUUUUGAUCAGAAUGAAAUUCUGGAUUCAUUAACCAACGUUUGUCCAUCUGUGAGUCUGUGUGGUGUUCGCUGUUGGCGCUCUUUCGGCCGCAAAAAUGAAGAAGAAAUAAUGAAGAUAUUGAGUUCAAAUUUGGUGCAAACACUGGAAGUUUUUGCACAGGUGGCCAACUUGGUCCGAGUACAAACUCGCAGUCGAGCUUAAACUGAACGCCACUCCGUUUUUUUUAACAAAAAUUUGUAGCUUUUUGCUCGUUACUCGGAAAUUAUUAAAGUAAGAAGGCUGAUAAUUGGCACGUUUACUUACAAAACACUAAGUAAUAGAACAACUAGAGUGACCUCAUAUGAAAAAAGUUCACGAGCUCUAUUCCUUUAACUUGGUUUCCCUACAAAAUCUACUUUUUACGUGCAAACAUGAGAAAAUCGGCCGUGCCCACAGAAAGUUACAAGUGAUUAAAUUUUAUUUUUUCAAUGUUUUAUGCUUAUUUGUCAUAACGCAAACAAGGC